UACGUAGGGUGCGAGCGUUAAUCGGAAUUACUGGGCGUAAAGCGUGCGCAGGCGGCUUUGCAAGACAGAUGUGAAAUCCCCGGGCUUAACCUGGGAACUGCAUUUGUGACUGCAUGGCUGGAGUGCGGCAGAGGGGGAUGGAAUUCCGCGUGUAGCAGUGAAAUGCGUAGAUAUCAAGUGGAACACCAGUGGCGAAGGCGAGUCUCUGGACAUUUCCUGACGCUGAGGCACGAAAGCCAGGGGAGCAAACGGG
rnacentral:rRNA from 1 species